GGAAGGGUGGCAGAGUGGUCGAUUGCUCCGGUCUUGAAAACCGGCGAUGGGAAACCAUCCGUGGGUUCGAAUCCCACCCCUUCCGCCA
rnacentral:tRNA from 1 species